UCCCUGGUGGCUCAGAUAGUAAAGAAUCUGCCUGCAAUGCAGGAGACCCAGGAUCUAUUCCUGGGUUGGGAA
rnacentral:tRNA from 1 species